UGGAUCGAUGAUGACUACUGGUGGCGUAUGAGUCGUGUAUGAUGAAUAUGUGUCUGGAGCUCUGAGGUCCGA
ensembl:snoRNA